rnacentral:rRNA from 1 species
AUUGAACGCCGGCGGCAUGCCUUACACAUGCAAGUCGAACGGCAGCGCGGACUUCGGUCUGGCGGCGAGUGGCGGACGGGUGAGUAAUACAUCGGAACGUCCCCUGUUGUGGGGGACAACUAGUCGAAAGAUUAGCUAAUACCGCAUACGACCGGAGGGUGAAAGUGGGGGACCGCAAGGCCUCACGCCGCAGGAGCGGCCGAUGUCUGAUUAGCUAGUUGGUGGGGUAAAGGCCCACCAAGGCGACGAUCAGUAGCUGGUCUGAGAGGACGAUCAGCCACACUGGGACUGAGACACGGCCCAGACUCCUACGGGAGGCAGCAGUGGGGAAUUUUGGACAAUGGGGGCAACCCUGAUCCAGCAAUGCCGCGUGUGUGAAGAAGGCCUUCGGGUUGUAAAGCACUUUUGUCCGGAAAGAAAUCGCGCUGGUUAAUACCUGGCGUGGAUGACGGUACCGGAAGAAUAAGCACCGGCUAACUACGUGCCAGCCGCCGCCGUAA